UUCUGCGUGGAAGGGCCAUCGCUCAACGGAUAAAAGCUACCCUGGGGAUAACAGGCUUAUUUCCCCCAAGAGUCCACAUCGACGGGGAGGUUUGGCACCUCGAUGUCGGCUCAUCACAUCCUGGGGCAGUAGUAGGUCCCAAGGGUUGGGCUGUUCGCCCAUUAAAGUGGUACGCGAGCUGGGUUCAGAACGUCGUGAGACAGUUCGGUCCCUAUCCGUCGCAGGCGUAGGAAAUUUGAGAAGACCUGUCCUUAGUACGAGAGGACCGGGAUGGACGUACCUCUGGUGUACCAGUUGU
rnacentral:rRNA from 1 species